GUGUAAAUAAAGAGAAACGUCUGUGUCAAGGCUUAGUCUAGAGACGCUGUGCAAACGAUAAGAUGUCAACAACGAGAGUUACGGCUUAGACAAAAAUUAAAAAGGACUAAUCAUACUCAUAGUAACCAUAAAUACGCUGAUCACAAACCUACAAGUUCCAUUUUUAGCGCCGGAAUGAGAUCAGUUCCUUGUUGGGUUGAUAAGGUUCAUGAUAAAGAAAAUGUUGAGCAGUGUGUUUAUGACUUGACUUUUAAGCCUGAUGGAACCCAGUUGAUAGUUGCAGCAGGGACUCGGGUUUUAGUUUAUGACACCAAUGAUGGGUCUUUAGUCCAGCCACUAAAAGGCCACAAGGAUAUAGUAUAUUGUGUAUGUUAUGCGAAGGAUGGAAAACGAUUUGCCUCUGGAUCAGCAGAUAAGCAAGUAAUUAUCUGGACCAAUAAGCUAGAGGGGAUAUUGAA